UGGGGAAUAUUGCACAAUGGGCGCAAGCCUGAUGCAGCCAUGCCGCGUGUGUGAAGAAGGCCUCCGGGUUGUAAAGCACUUUCAGCGGGGAGGAAGGCGUUAAGGUUAAUAACCUUGGCGAUUGACGUUACCCGCAGAAGAAGCACCGGCUAACUCCGUGCCAGCAGCCGCGGUAAUACGGAGGGUGCAAGCGUUAAUCGGAAUUACUGGGCGUAAAGCGCACGCAGGCGGUUUGUUAAGUCAGAUGUGAAAUCCCCGGGCUCAACCUGGGAACUGCAUCUGAUACUGGCAAGCUUGAGUCUCGUAGAGGGGGGUAGAAUUCCAGGUGUAGCGGUGAAAUGCGUAGAGAUCUGGAGGAAUACCGGUGGCGAAGGCGGCCCCCUGGACGAAGACUGACGCUCAGGUGCGAAAGCGUGGGGAGCAAACAGG
rnacentral:rRNA from 1 species